rnacentral:lncRNA from 1 species
GAGAGAUCAGUCGUACUCCAUCAUGCUCUCCUUAUUAUAAUGCUCGAGAAUGCGUAGACAAUGAAAUCGUUGCUAAAGAUGCUCAGACCUCAUAAAGCAAGAACGUGGGAUAUGUUCUCGUAUUCCCGCAGAUGGUGCUAAUCUGAUGCUACCAAAAUCCGAUCUAACUAGGGUAGGCUGGAGAGCAUUGAUCAAUUUGCUCAACUCAUCUAUAUGGUGGAAGAUGGAUCACUAAUAUUCCUUGGAGAGGUAUGGAUCUGUGCACAUAAUAAAGAAGAGAAAAUCUCAUUGGAUUUGCUCCUGCUAACCUCGGUCUCGAUAUUUCAUGAACUGCCAACCUGCG